GCUGAUUGUCAUGUUCUGAUUUGGC
rnacentral:miRNA from 1 species